rnacentral:rRNA from 1 species
UGCCAGCAGCCGCGGUAAUACGGAGGGUGCAAGCGUUAAUCGGAAUUACUGGGUUUAAAGGGUGUGUAGGCGGAUAUUUAAGUCAGAGGUGAAAUCUCCGAGCUCAACUCGGAAACUGCCUUUGAUACUAUUUAUCUUGAAUUUCGUUGAGGUUGGCGGAAUAUAUCAUGUAGCGGUGAAAUGCAUAGAUAUGAUAUAGAACACCGAUUGCGAAGGCAGCUGGCUGAACGAACAUUGACGCUGAGGCACGAAAGCGUGGGUAGCGAACAGGAUUAGAUA